UGGGGACAAUGAGACACUUGGGGACACUGGGAGACAUGGGCACACUGAGACACUAGGGACACCGCCAGUGUCCCUGGUGUCUCAGUGUCCCCAUGUCUCCCAGUGUCCCCAUGUCUCCCAGUGUCU